rnacentral:rRNA from 1 species
AUUGAACGCUGGCGGCAUGCUUUACACAUGCAAGUCGAACGGCAGCGCGGGCUUCGGCCUGGCGGCGAGUGGCGAACGGGUGAGUAAUGCAUCGGAACGUGCCCAGUAGUGGGGGAUAGCCCGGCGAAAGCCGGAUUAAUACCGCAUACGACCUGAGGGUGAAAGCGGGGGACCGAAAGGCCUCGCGCUAUUGGAGCGGCCGAUGUCGGAUUAGCUAGUUGGUGGGGUAAAGGCUUACCAAGGCGACGAUCCGUAGCUGGUCUGAGAGGACGACCAGCCACACUGGGACUGAGACACGGCCCAGACUCCUACGGGAGGCAGCUGUGGGGAAUUUUGGACAAUGGGGGCAACCCUGAUCCAGCCAUGCCGCGUGCGGGAAGAAGGCCUUCGGGUUGUAAACCGCUUUUGUUCGGGAAGAAAUCCUCUGGGCUAAUACCCCGGGGGGAUGACGGUACCGGAAGAAUAAGCACCGGCUAACUACGUG